rnacentral:rRNA from 1 species
AUGGCCCACAUUGCCUCUUUCAAGAAAGUCAAGGCUUUCUCUCAGUCUGACCUUGAUGAUGCAAACAACUUCACCAACAUCUCCUCCCACAACAAGCUCGUGAGAUAUAGAGAUGAGGGGAAGGCGAGGAAAGGGGAGGACUUUAACCCGAGCCAGGGUCCCAUUGAUCCAGAGCUGGUGAUGAUAUCUGGUGGCGGGAGGUCCCAUGGCUCCAUAGCCAUUGGAGAUGGACUUAUCCGUUGUCCUAGCACUCUCCCGGAGAUCAAGGCGCGCCAGUCGAGCUCCGCUCCUGAGAUAAGGCCUCGUGAACGGCCAGUGCAACUCGCCAUCAAGGCUGCUAUACAGAGUGAGAGAGAUAGAACGGAGGAACUUCUGACGGAGGCGGCGGAGAGGCAGCGGGAGUUGGAGGAGAGG